AACGAACGCUGGCGGCAUGCCUAACACAUGCAAGUCGAACGAGGUCUUCGGGUCUAGUGGCGCACGGGUGCGUAACGCGUGGGAAUCUGCCCUUUGGUUCGGAAUAACAGUUGGAAACGGCUGCUAAUACCGGAUGAUGACGAAAGUCCAAAGAUUUAUCGCCAGAGGAUGAGCCCGCGUAGGAUUAGCUAGUUGGUGUGGUAAAGGCGCACCAAGGCGACGAUCCUUAGCUGGUCUGAGAGGAUGAUCAGCCACACUGGGACUGAGACACGGCCCAGACUCCUACGGGAGGCAGCAGUGGGGAAUAUUGGACAAUGGGCGAAAGCCUGAUCCAGCAAUGCCGCGUGAGUGAUGAAGGCCUUAGGGUUGUAAAGCUCUUUUACCCGGGAUGAUAAUGACAGUACCGGGAGAAUAAGCUCCGGCUAACUCCGUGCCAGCCGCCGCAGUAA
rnacentral:rRNA from 1 species